rnacentral:rRNA from 1 species
UUGCUCCCGGAUGUUAGCGGCGGACGGGUGAGUAACACGUGGGUAACCUGCCUGUAAGACUGGGAUAACUCCGGGAAACCGGAGCUAAUACCGGAUAGUUCCUUGAACCGCAUGGUUCAAGGAUGAAAGACGGUUUCGGCUGUCACUUACAGAUGGACCCGCGGCGCAUUAGCUAGUUGGUGGGGUAAUGGCUCACCAAGGCGACGAUGCGUAGCCGACCUGAGAGGGUGAUCGGCCACACUGGGACUGAGACACGGCCCAGACUCCUACGGGAGGCAGCAGUAGGGAAUCUUCCGCAAUGGACGAAAGUCUGACGGAGCAACGCCGCGUGAGUGAUGAAGGUUUUCGGAUCGUAAAGCUCUGUUGUUAGGGAAGAACAAGUGCGAGAGUAACUGCUCGCACCUUGACGGUACCUAACCAGAAAGCCACGGCUAACUACGUGCCAGCAGCCGCGGUAAUACGUAGGUGGCAAGCGUUGUCCGGAAUUAUUGGGCGUAAAGGGCUCGCAGGCGGUUUCUUAAGUCUGAUGUGAAAGCCCCCGGCUCAACCGGGGAGGGUCAUUGGAAACUGGGAAACUUGAGUGCAGAAGAGGAGAGUGGAAUUCCACGUGUAGCGGUGAA